GACUAUGGCCAUGCCACCCUGAAUAAGCCCAUGUGUGAUCUCGGAAGCUAAGCAUGGUUGAGUCUGGUUAGUACUUGGAUGGGAGACCACUUAGGAAGACCAGGUUCUAUAGGCA
rnacentral:rRNA from 1 species